UACGUAGGUGGCAAGCGUUGUCCGGAUUUACUGGGCGUAAAGAGCGCGCAGGCGGUCGUUCAAGUCGCGUGUGAAAGCCCCCGGCUCAACUGGGGAGGGUCACUGAGACUGAUCGACUCGAAGGCAGGAGAGGGUAGUGGAAUUCCCGGUGUAGUGGUGAAAUGCGUAGAUAUCGGGAGGAACACCAGUGGCGAAGGCGACUACCUGGCCUGUUCUUGACGCUGAGGCGCGAAAGCUAGGGGAGCAAACGGG
rnacentral:rRNA from 1 species